UUUAAAAUUUUAGCGGUUUGUCGGUUUUUCACGCGGCUUCCUGGUUAACGCGUCUUUUGCGCUAUGAUUUUUCACGUUAGUUCGCUUGUUUGAAGUGGCGCACUCGGUAGCGGCGAAGUAGAGAUCUUCAGCUGUGCGAUCUGCAUCGUACGCGGAUCCGGAUUGCAAAGGCUUGUCUGCGGAAGGACAUACCGUAAUCAACGACUACCUUUGCGGCCUGGAAUUUAGCAAGCUGACAACGAGCAUCACACACAUGCAAAGCUAAAAUUUUGCUAACAGGAGCAAGAAAGCUCUCCAGUAAAAGUGCUGCAGCUAGUGCACAAAUCCAAGCAAGACACAAGCUUAAAGCAGGCAUGAUCAAUGUAAAGCUACAGAUUGCAAGCAUGAAAACAAAGCUCAGCUGUCCCCCCAGGACAGCCGAGCUGUACUCCAGAUGCGACCCCAAGGCUUUUAAUUGGCUUUUAAUUCAUGAUGUUUGGCAUACACCUCAAGGGUGCAUUAUCUGUCAUGCUUGUUGGGUGCUGAUCCUAUAAGUAGUAGUUUUUAUAUAGCGUUCAGAAUAUUCAGUUAGAAUUGACUGGAAAGGUUUGCCUAACUUUCUCUGCCUAAUCCACAAACUGUACCACAAUACAUCCUUACACGAAUAUUUUUUUCAGCCAGCACUAGCUUUUUUUCCACGACAUGGUCCACCUUUCAAAGUAUGUACCCCAUGCGGUACACCAAAUUUUCCAUGAUCCUUCAUCCCCUAUACCAUUAUCAACUGGAGGAGCUUGCCACAUCGUAGUGCCAUAAAUACUAAUUUUGAGAUUUUCCACAGCCUUCUUCUGUUUGGACGUCCCAGCCUUGUACAUAGGUUUUACUAUAUUUACCCCUCUCUGGUGCUGCUCUGAGUGCGGCACUUCUCAGGACCUUAUUAAAGUUGUUUGUUUGUCU
rnacentral:lncRNA from 1 species